AUUGAACGCUGGCGGCAGGCCUAACACAUGCAAGUCGAACGAGUGGCGGACGGGUGAGUAAUGUCUGGGAAACUGACUGAUCGAGGGGGAUAACUACUGGAAACGGUAGCUAAUACCGCAUACCAUCGGAUGUGCCCAGAUGGGAUUAGCUAGUAGGUGGGGUAACGGCUGACCUAGGCGACGAUCCCUAGCUGGUCUGAGAGGAUGACCAGCCACACUGGAACUGAGACACGGUCCAGACUCCUACGGGAGGCAGCAGUAGGGAAUAGUGCACAAUGGGCGCAAGCCUGAUGCAGCCAUGCCGCGUGUAUGAAGAAGGCCUUCGGGUUGUAAAGUUCUUUCAGCGGGGAGGCGUUACCCGCAGAAGAAGCACCGGCUAAUUCCGUGCCAGCAGCCGCGGUAAUUC
rnacentral:rRNA from 1 species